AUUGAACGCUGGCGGCAGGCCUAACACAUGCAAGUCGAGCGGAUGAAGGGAGCUUGCUCCUGGAUUCAGCGGCGGACGGGUGAGUAAUGCCUAGGAAGCUGACUGGUAGUGGGGGAUAACGUACGGAAACGGGAGCUAAUACCGCAUACGUCCUGAGGGAGAAAGGGGGGGAUCUUCGGACCUCACGCGAUCAGAUGAGCCUAGGUCGGAUUAGCUAGUUGGUGGGGUAAGGGCCUACCAAGGCGACGAUCCGUAACUGGUCUGAGAGGAUGAUCAGUCACACUGGAACUGAGACACGGUCCAGACUCCUACGGGAGGCAGCAGUGGGGAAUAUUGGACAAUGGGCGAAAGCCUGAUCCAGCCAUGCCGCGUGUGUGAAGAAGGUCUUCGGAUUGUAAAGCACUUUAAGUUGGGAGGAAGGGCAGUAAGUUAAUCCCUUGCUGUUUUGACGUUACCAACAGAAUAAGCCCCGGCUAACUUCGUG
rnacentral:rRNA from 1 species